rnacentral:misc_RNA from 1 species
AAGUCGUAACAAGGUAUCCGUAGGUGAACCUGCGGAUGGAUCAUUACCAAAGGGUGAUAUCCGCACGUAAUGUGAACAGUUUUUGGUGUAUGUGGCUUUGCUGCCUGCACCAUCUCUAACCACGUAUGCAACUGAAGUCUUGUUAAUCAAAUAAUCGAUAAACAACUUUUAGCAAUGGAUCUCUUGGCUCUU